UACAGAGGGGGCAAGCGUUGUUCGGAAUUACUGGGCUUAAAGGGCGCGUAGGCGGCUCGCCAAGUCGGGGGUGAAAUCUUGCCGCUUAACGGCAAAAGAGCUUUCGAUACUGGCGAGCUGGAGGGGGAUAGGGGUGCGCGGAACUUCCGGUGGAGCGGUGAAAUGCGUAGAUAUCGGAAGGAACGCCGGUGGCGAAAGCGGCGCACUGGAUCCCCACUGACGCUGAGGCGCGAAAGCCAGGGGAGCAAACGGG
rnacentral:rRNA from 1 species